AUCCAGCCAUGCCGCGUGCAGGAUGACGGCCCUAUGGGUUGUAAACUGCUUUUAUACGGGAAGAAACGCGCCCACGUGUGGGCGUUUGACGGUACCGUAAGAAUAAGGACCGGCUAACUCCGUGCCAGCAGCCGCGGUAAUACGGAGGGUCCGAGCGUUAUCCGGAAUCAUUGGGUUUAAAGGGUCCGUAGGCGGGCCUGUAAGUCAGGGGUGAAAGUUUGUGGCUCAACCAUAAAAUUGCCUUUGAUACUGCAGGUCUUGAGUCAUGGUGGGGUUGCCGGAACAUGUGGUGUAGCGGUGAAAUGCAUAGAUAUCACAUAGAACACCGAUCGCGAAGGCAGGUGACCAACCAUGUACUGACGCUGAUGGACGAAAGCGUGGGUAGCGAACGGGAUUAGAUACCCCGGUAGUCCACGCCGUAAACGAUGGAUACUAGCUGUGGGGACUUCGGUCUCCGUGGCCAAGCGAAAGUGAUAAGUAUCCCACCUGGGGAGUACGUUCGCAAGAAUGAAACUCAAAGGAAUUGACGGGGGCCCGCACAAGCGGUGGAGCAUGUGGUUUAAUUCGAUGAUACGCGAGGAACCUUACCAGGGCUUAAAUGCAGGCUGCAUGGGGUAGAGAUACCCCUUUCUUCGGACCGCCUGCAAGGUGCUGCAUGGUUGUCGUCAGCUCGUGCCGUGAGGUGUCAGGUUAAGUCCUAUAACGAGCGCAACCCCUACCGUUAGUUGCCAGCAUGUCAAGAUGGGGACUCUAACGGGACUGCCGGUGCAAACCGUGAGGAAGGUGGGGACGACGUCAAAUCAUCACGGCCCUUACGUCCUGGGCUACACACGUGCUACAAUGGCCGGUACAGAGGGAAGCCACCCCGCAAGGGGGCGCGGAUCUACAAAACCGGUCACAGUUCGGAUCGGGGUCUGCAACUCGACCCCGUGAAGCUGGAAUCGCUAGUAAUCGGAUAUCAGCCAUGAUCCGGUGAAUACGUUCCCGGGCCUUGUACACACCGCCCGUCAAGCCAUGGAAGCCGGGAGUGCCUGAAGUCCGUCA
rnacentral:rRNA from 1 species